UUUUUUUUUUCUUUUUUCUUUAUUUAUUUUUUGUCUUUUGUCUUUUUAGGGCUGCAAAGGCAGGCUAUGGCGGUUCCCAGGCCAGCAGUCGAACUGGAGCUGCAGCCACUGGCCUACUCCACAGCCACAGCAACGUGGGAUCCGAGCCCAGUCUUCCAUCUAUACCACAGCUCAUGGCAAUGCUGGAUCCUUAACCCACUGAGCGAGGCCAGGGAUCAAAGCCACAUCCUCAUGGAUACUAGUCGGGUUUGUUAACCACUGAGCCACAAUGGGAACUCCCUUCUCUUUUUUUUUGAAAAAAAAUUUUUCAUUAGAGUUGAUUUAUAAUGUUCUGUCAAUUUUUGAUGCAGGGGAGACUGUUGAUAAGUUCAGAGUCAGAUCUGCUUGCCACAAUUUUCUUAUCAGAAGUCGGGGUGAGGCAGGCAACCGAGAUGCAACAGACCCCUCCCGCCAGUGACUCUGGGAUGGCCUUAGGAGUUACUGAAACUUUCAUAGAGUUUCCGUGGAAAAAAGAAACACAGUAAAACUUAAACCAUGAUUUGCAGAAAACAGAAAAGGUCUUCAUACCUGGUUAUCUCAGGGGACAAGGGCAUCAGCUACAACAGGAAAGGGAAAAUCUAAGAAGGAUGCCAUUUUUGUUAGAAAAACCAAAUUAACACCCAACUUUUAGCAUCCUAAGUACCAACUCAUUGAGAAAAGUAAAAGGUCAGAGAGAUGGAAGUCAGAGGGUCAGGUUGAUCGAUAAAGCCAGACUGGAGAAGUGGCUCAAACCAGUGCCAAGUGGGCUUUAGGCUGGAAAUAGGCAGAUCUUCCCACCUCUGAAUAAGCCAGCUGGAAUCGCCCAGGACCACGGACCCCAACGUUAGCUUUCAGACCAGCAGGCAUGAGCAGUGCAUGGCUCACGUGCAGGCAGACAUACGUGACAAGCGUUGCUCUUCUCGAACUUGCCAGGUAAAGUCAGGUGCUCCUGCAUCUGGUGAAGAGUGAAACAAAAGGACAGAUGCUCUCACCUACGGUUAAGGUAGGAAAGCAGAAGAAAGAAGGGCUGGAGCUCCCUAAGAAUUGUCAGGCCCAAGUUCUAUGCAUUAUUUUAAAAAUUCAAUGAGAAAAUGCAUUUAUUUAGCCAAAAAAACUUUUGAGCACUCACUAUAGACAAGCAGACCAGGCCCCUGACCUCCUGGAGGCAGGGAAGGCAGGUUUUAAUCACAUCACCAGAAAGAGACAUUUAGAAACUUGGAAAUGCAAGGAAAAUGAAAAUAAAGAUAACUCACCCAGCAUGGAGGUGGUCAGAUGGAUGGAAACGGCUUCAAGGAGCAGAGAUAUUUGUGCUGAGAUGUGAAGGCAACGAUGGGAGAGCGACCUCCAGGCAGAAGAGUGAAGCCGCCAGGGCAGGAAGGAAAAGGGCAUCAUGGAGACACUUUGGGUGGCGUCCUCAAUGGUGGGCAUGAGCUUUCACUCAGCUCCUGAAACACCCCCUUCUCCAAAACCAUGCGGGAAACCCACACAAAGGAAACAGGGCGACCCAACAAGACAGGCAGGCUAGCACCCAAGAAACAAGGUUUUAAACAGUUACAAACACAGGAGCCUUGAUGAGGGAAGGGAAGAACGAUGCUGUACGUGUACAAUGAACGUGGGACCAAAGACAGUCUCGGGAGAAAGGGUCAUGACACUCCGUCUGGGUCUGAACGAAAGAGAAGAAGGCUGUCUCCCAAAGGCGAAGAAAAUAUUCAGCACAGAGGAGCUUACGUAAAGCGUGUGCUGAUUCCCCUUUCUGAAGGUGUCUCAGCUUUCCCCCUAAUUCUUUUUUUUUUUUUUUCACAUUCUCCAAUACAGUCCUUCCUUGAAACUAACAACAUGAAUUUUUAAUGGAUUUGGCCACUGAACACAGAGAAGCCAACCGGUCCACGUAAUGAAUAAUGCCACCUCCACACUCUCAGAUGUACCCUUCUAGUAAGACUCAAGGUAAAUUCUAAUGCGCUGAAAUAAUAAAACGAAAAAUGUAAAACACAUGCCCCUCCCCCCCAAAGCUUCUUCCCACAUUCUAAAGAGGAAACACACACAGAGACAGCAUUCAUCUAUUAACAGAAGCUCACUUUACCAAUUCUUCUUCUUCAUGUUUUUGAAUUCCAAGCACUACAUUUGGGAGGACGGCGAGUGGGUUUAGGUGGAGAAGAGAUAAGAAUUAAGAGAGGACAAAUCACUGUGUCUGACUAAGGCAAUAAACCCUGUGUGUUGAAGCGCAGGCUCAAGAAAGAUUCAGGCAUUAGCAGAGAACUUCUUUACAAAUCUAAGUAAUUUUUCCUCACGUAAUAAAACUUAAACAUGGAAAAUGGUUUAAAAAAAAAAAAAAAGUCAGGUCUAAUGACUGAGUUAGUUGGACGAGAAGUAAAACUUCCUGCAUGGAAAAACAAAGACUGACUCCAAAAGUUGACUUUUUGAAACUAAGCACCAGGCGGUAUUCCCCCUAAUCACACUGGGCCUCUGCCUGCUCUGGCCUCAAGGGCAGGGAUGGCUCCUAGACCAGGACAGGUGGGGCUGGGGAGCAAUCUAAAGACAGGAAUGUACCCAGGGAGAGAACCAUUCCUAUCACCACUUGGAUCUUCUCGAAUGUUCGCAGGCACCUGGAGCAUUUUCCUGGGGUGUCCUGGCAAGUCCGGUGGUGGGGCCACCCGCCUCCUCCUUGCUGCCUGUGAGAAAAUGCAUCCUCGGGCUGAAAGGUGGAGCAGCUAUAACACCCAGUGAACAACCAGAUCAGCACUACAAGGAUCCAUCGCCCUUUCUGCUCACGGAGGGCAGAGUGUCACUGCAGUGGGUGAAGGACAUCCAGCCAGGGCACGGCUCUAACCUCAUACCAAGGUCCUCUAACUUCUGCUCAGCAGAAGCACCUGGAAAGCUCGUCAACACCCUGCUUACUGGUCCUCACCCUCAGAGUUUCCAAUUCAGUGGGCCAAAGGAUCUGUCUCUCUAACAAGUUCCCAGGAAUGCUGCUGCUGCUGGUCUGGGGACCCCAAUUGGAGAAACUGGGACCCAGGGGAUCCUUGAUUCUCCUGAAAUUCCAUACACCAUCUGUGCAUAGGUGCCUGUGAGUUUUUGUCCUGAAUGUGCUUCCUGGCUUCCAUCAGAAUCUGCACAUGAACUAAACCACAAACAAAAGCCAAUAACUUUUUUUUUUUUUUUUCUCUUUUAGGGUCGCACCCUUGGCAUCUGGAAGUUCACAGGCUAGGGAUCAAAUCAGAGGUACAGCUGCUGGAUCACACCACAGCCACAGAAACUCAGGAUCCAAGCCCCACCUGCAACCUACACCACAGCUCACAGGAACGCCACAACCUUAACCCACUGAGUGAGGCCAAGGAUCUAACCUGCAUCUUCAUGGAUCCCAGUCAGGUUCGUUUACUGCUAAGUCGCAAAGGGAACUCCCCAAAGCCAAUAACUUAGAGAACAUUUACUAACACAAAAUCCUGGGAGAGACGCUGACCCCAAAGAGAGAAGAUGAAGCGAUGGUCUGGAAAGUGUGAACUCAUGAGGCAGAGCAAGGUCAGUUCCCCAAUAAGCGCCCAGAGUUGCUGGGUGAAAGCGGGGUAACGGCUGAUAGGCACAGUUGAAAUAAAGAGAUUUGGAGAGGAAUUCGUAUUCUCACCCUACAGGAAUUUAUUUUUAAUUAUAGAUAAUUAUGCUGAAUUACAACAAGAUGAUUUGAACCAUUACGCUAAUUCAGGAGUAAUAAAGCAUGAAUUACUGAUGCAAUUUUUAAAAAUGUAACCUAUCAAUCAACACUGGAUCAGCAACAGACAAAGGCUCUGAUGUGACAUUCGUAUCGUACAGGAUUAUAGUUAAAAAUGGCCUUCCACUUACCCCUUAAGAGCCCCCAGCGAGCGAUGAGGUGGGAACACCGGGACUCUGUGAAGAGCCCCGUGAAGAUACCCGUGCAGGGGUACCCCUCCAGGCUACCCCUCCCCGCGGGCUGGCUCUCAGAAUCCCUGGUUUUUAGACGUAGUGGAACACAAUACUUUGUGUCCGGUCAGACCUUGGUUCAAAUCCCAGCUUUGACCUUGGCUAGCUAUAUAACCUUCAGAAAGUAACUUCCAUUUCUCCAAGCCUCGGUUGCCUCAUCUAUAAAAUGGGAACAAGAGCCUAACACACAAGGCUCUUCUGAUGAUUGCAUGAUAAGGUCCAUAAAAUUUCUGAGGCAGUGAAAAUUCAACAGCUGGUCAGGGGGAUAAGGUCCUGCCCUGGACUGAGGUCACUAAUAGAAUCACAUGUGGCUCUUAUGCUGAAAAACUAGCCCCUAGCCUUCCAGGGAGCUCCUCCAGACCCAGUUUUGUUCAGCAGGACAGAGCAGUCUGUCUAGUUUUCAUGUAACAUUUCAUGAGGGUUAAGGCUCACAGUCAAAGGAUGGUUCCUGAGCUGGCAGGUCAAGUAAGAUCCAUCAGUCGGUGCUCGGAGAAAGUGCUGGGCUUGCUGAUGAAACAUCUGCCCAAUGUGUAUUCUCUCUCCUGAACCUAAGAGGCCAUAGUCUGAAGACAACAAAGACGGGGGAGGGUGGGGGAAGGAGAUGAUAAAUGUCUCCCACACAGUGACUGCUAAUUUCUAUAGCAAGACUGGCGACCUUACUCAAAGUGAAAAGACUUCACGAAGAAGAGGGGGAAAACCCAGGAUUAAGCAUUAUCUAUGAGUCAGUUUUGCUUGCAUAUUAUUACAUAAUGCCCUCUUUAGAGAGGAACAAAACAGAAAAAUAUUGCCCAAGUUCAUAGAGCCAGUCAUUGGUAGAGUCCGGAUUAAAACUCAGAUCUUUCUUACUCCAAAAAUCACAAGCUUUCAGUUAAACCAUACUAUCUUUACCAAAAUAACUGACUUGUAUUUCAUGGUGCUGCUAUUUUAAGUAGAAGGGGGAGAAAAGAUGGUGGGUGUGGAAGGAAGAAAACCCAGAAUGUACCUAUAAGAACUGCAAGUAAGUCAAGAAGAAAGAACCUAUCCACACACAAGCUGAACAGAAAUGAAUGACCACACACACAAAAGCACUGGGCACAAAAAUACAUGAUCCAUCUCAGGCUAUAAGACCUUUGUAUCGCCUGGGAGCCAGAGUUAACCAGACGAAAUGGCAAAGGCAAUGAGGUCAAUGGCCUGUGGAGGGCAGCAGAGAGUUGGGGUUUGAUGAGCACCUUUGGCUCCCAAACUCGGGGUAGAGGUGGAAGUCAACAAAAAGCCUUGCCUCAGAGAGACUUUAUCGAUAACUGAGAAUCAACUGGGCUCUGUGCAAAGAGGUCACCCUCGGUCAGGGUAGACCUGGAGACGGGUCUUUGCAUUUGGGUCCAGACAGGCAUUUGCAUUAAGGCAGGGUGGCAAGAGGGCUCUAACAAGAGA
rnacentral:lncRNA from 1 species